UACGGAGGGUGCAAGCGUUAUCCGGAUUCACUGGGUUUAAAGGGUGCGUAGGCGGGAAUGUAAGUCAGUGGUGAAAUCUCCGUGCUUAACAUGGAAACUGCCAUUGAUACUAUGUUUCUUGAAUUUUCUGGAGGUAAGCGGAAUAUGUCAUGUAGCGGUGAAAUGCUUAGAUAUGACAUAGAACACCAAUUGCGAAGGCAGCUUGCUACAGGGAUAUUGACACUGAGGCACGAAAGCGUGGGGAUCAAACAGG
rnacentral:rRNA from 1 species